AGCGAACGCUGGCGGCAGGCCUAACACAUGCAAGUCGAACGAACUCUUCGGAGUUAGUGGCGGACGGGGGAGUAAACGGUUGGAACGUGCCUUUUGGUUCUGAAUAUCUCACGGAAAUAUGCCUUGAUAACUAAUGCGACUUCCGGGGGAAAGAUUUCUCGCCAUUGGAUCGGCGCGUGUCUGAUUAGGUAGUUGGUGAAGUAACGGCUCACCAAGGCGACGAUCAGUAGCUGGUCUGGGAGCAUGACCAGCCACACUGGGACUGAGACACGGCCCAGACUGCGACGCAAGGGUGCAGUAGGGAAUAUUGCGGAAUGGGCGAUAGCCUGACGCAGCCAUGCCGGGUAAAUGAUGCAGGUCGUAGGAUUGCAAAAUUAUUUCACAGGAGACGAUAAUGACGGUACCCGGAGAAGAAGCCCCGGCUAACUACGUG
rnacentral:rRNA from 1 species